ensembl:lncRNA
GGACUGCAGGGAAAACUGCAUCUACUUCUCAAUGCUCCUAUUUAAUUAUUUGCAAAAAUUUUUGCAAAAUCUGUCAGUGAGACUGAGGAAUUGUUAGUAUGUUGGACUAAGUGAAGGCUAUGGUAUUUGUGUGCACUGGUUUUUGUACCAGCUUUUGCAAGAUUGAGGCAGCUGAACUAGACAGGCAGUCUUACAGGUAAAAGGAAUUCUUCAGUGUUAGUAUGCCACUUAACCUAUGCCUGGAAUUUGGACGAAUUUCCAGACUGUCAAGUGCAAGUUUGCUGCAAAGUAACACCACGACAGUUUUCAUUAAUACAUUCACCUCACAGUAACAUCUGGCAAUAUCUGCAUGUGCUUUGGAAAGAGGAAUAUUUUGGUUGUAUAUAUGCUGCAGCUCACUCCUGGAGUCCUGCGAUGCCAGAAUAUCAACUCGAUUUUAAAGUAAAAGUGCAUCUGAUUUACAUAGCUAAAAGCUGUUCUGUGUGCAAGCUAGUGAGCAGCCUGAGGAUGAGGAAGGACUUUUCUGGUUACUGAAAGGAGAUUAGUAUCCUGAGGGUGCUUUCCAUCACUGCUCACAGGUGCAUCCCAAGUCAUAGCCAUGGAGAAGCCAAAAUGAUCCUUUCUCAGCUGAACUGCAAGAUUUGGAAGGAGAGAGCUGCUAAAUGGCCUGGGAGAUGCCCUGCUGGGAGACACUCACGCCUUUAUCCCUGGCACUGCCUGCCUCCCACUGUGUUCCACUGGCUCUUCUUGGGAGUUUGCAGCAAGAAGUUCUUGUCCCACGACUGGAAACCUUGGAACCAUAUACUGUGUCCAGCUGUUGAUCCUCACAAUGUGAACACAGAAGACUAUUGUAUAGCUUCCAAACUAGCAAGGCACUGUAUAAUAUAUUGUAUUAUUACGUAUUAUUAUUAUGUACUAACAUAUGCAGUAAUACAUGAAGAAAUGCAUGUGUCCAUAAAAUAUUAUAAUAUAGAUAAGAUCACAAGAAAACAUUCCUGAUUAAUAUAAUUCUUUGCAUAUAUCCUCAGCAUGAUACAAGCAGUUUGAAAAGAGCUCUGAUGCAAUUUUCUUCAUAUACUAAAGUAUAUGAAGAAAAUGUAAAAAAGUUGUGCAGCACUGCUGUGAAAUAUUUUACAGAUAGUUGAGUAUUGGUAAUUGCUAAGUUAUCCCAUUGAAAUAAUAUCUAUAAACGUAUCCUAGACCUACAUCAAAUUAGAAGUAGACUAUCUGACCUAUAUACAAUCAGAUGCAGAAGAAGAGGCACCUCACUUUAUACUCUAAAUAUCUCCACUAAAAGUUGUAGACAUGAAUUAUUUUCCCAAGCUCCUCUUUUUUUAACCCUAGCAAUGAUGAAGUGGAAAGCACUUUGAUGGGAGGCAUAUUCUUCUGACUUACCCUAUGUUCUGACUUACCACUUCUGAGUAUUGGUAAACUGCUCACUGAUUACUGACUGAAAGAAGUGAUCUGCUGCAUGUUUGCAGGCUUGGAAUUAGUCAAAGUGCACAUAGGACAAGAAUUGGGAAUACUUUCUGAUUUUCUGUGCCUCUGAAUUAAAACAUGUAAAAAUUUUGUUUCUUUUGCCCCCAUUUAAUACCUGUCAGGAUGAGACACAGGUAAGAGGUAUUUCAGCCUGAAAUGCCUAUGCCUAAUACACGAGACAACAAUCUGUUUGCUGCCAGUUAUUUUUGAACAGAGCAUUGAAUUAUUUGAACAUCCCUGAAGAAUUCAAGGCAUCAGACUUCAUCAUACCAUGUAUGCUUCCCUUGGUCUAAUCAGAGCUGAUGACUUUUUCUCUCUCCUCCUAACAGUGACAUUUGUUUUAUCCAAACAGUUAAGAUGUUACAUUUUAAAUGCUUAUUAUUAGGUCCAUGAUUAACGGAAAACUAAUAAAAAACAGCUACAUUAUCCA